GUAGGCUAUGGCGAUAUUUAUCCACAAACACUGCUGGGCAAAAUAGUUGGUGGACUUUGCUGCAUUGCAGGUGUGUUAGUCAUAGCCUUACCCAUACCCAUCAUUGUGAACAAC
rfam:Scleropages formosus scaffold1480, whole genome shotgun sequence.